CAGCUCGUCAUGCUAGAGCACUUUUUCAAUGUGCUCCCCAACGACAAGGCGACGACGCAUUCGUAUGUCAAUCCAUAUCAACUUUCGAUGCCAUUUACUGCGCCUACCAUGGUGACCACGGGUAACGGGGAAUCAGGGUUCAAUUCCGUACAGGGACCCUGACAAAGGGCUACCACAUGCAAGGAAGGCAGCAGGCACGCAAAUGACCCACUCCCGACGCGGGGAGGUAGUGA